GGGUAAAUGGGUAAGCACAGGAAAAAGUAAAUAAAUCAGGGUUGGAGAGGCAGAAAAUGCUACAGAGAAGUGAUGGUAAUUGAGUCAGGGCUAGAUGAGUUGUGAGCAAAUGAGUUGUGAGUUGGAGUUGACAAGGUGGAAAGAUGAGAAGCCAUCCCCUCCCUGUGAAUAGCCAAGACCUGCUUGGAACAAAGAACAUGUACAUGGGUUAAGUGCCCACAAUGAGCCUGAAGUGGUAGGAGAGGUUCUGGAAAAUUGUGCAGAAAUGUCUUAGCUCUAUUAUCAUGAAAAGUGCACCUUGGAGGAUUUGCAGGAGCAUUUCUCCUGCAAAAUGCUCCAAGUAAACAAGCACUCACCAAAGAAGUUUGGGCCUGUCACUCAUCACACAUGCCUCCUGAACAUUCUUAUCCCCACUAGCUGAAUAUCUCCAUUGCAUCGUGCAGGGAUGGGUUGCAGCCCUGGUAACAUUCUGUGUGUUUCUAGCUCAACACUGAGUUCUCUAAUAAGAGACUGGUUUAUUCUGUGGGGACCUCUUAUAGACAGCAUUGUAGCCCCCUCCCAAUUCAUAUAUUGAAGCCCUAACCCCUUGUGCAACUACAUUUGGAGACAGGGCCUUUGAAGGAAAGGAUUAAGGUUAAAUGAGGCCGGGCAUGGUGGCUCAUGCCUGUAAUCCCACCACUUUGGGAGGCCGAGGCAGGAGGAUCACUUGAGGUCAGGAGUUCAAGACCAGCCUGGCCAACAUGGCAAAACCCCAUCACUACUAAAAAAAUACAAAAAUUAACCAGGAGUGAUGGCGGAUGCCUGUAAUCCCAGCUACUUGGGAGGCUGAGGCAGGAGAAUCGCUUGAACCCGGGAGGCAGAGUUUGCAAUGAGCUGAGAUGGUGCCACUGCACUCCAACCUGGGCAACAGAAAGAGACUAUGUCUCAAAAACAAACAAACAAACAAACAAAAAGGCCAUAAGAGUGAGACCCUCACCCAAUAGGACUGGUGUCCUCAUAAGAAGAUGUGAAAAUCUUAACUUUAGAUGCCCAUCAGGCCCUAGGUACGAAGCUAGCCCCACUACAGAGACCAACAGAGUUGGACAAGGGGACUGUCCAGAGAUCCAAGCCAAGACCAUCUGGAUCCAGGAUCCAAGGAGAGCCAGAAGGUGGUUAAAACAAUCCUCAAAGCAUUGGCCAGUAAUGAGCAGAGCCGAGACCCACGGGCUAAUAUCUGAACCCUGUGGAAAAAGAGAGCAACUGGAGACAGAAGCCUAA
rnacentral:lncRNA from 1 species